GGGGGGGGGGGGGGGGGGGGGGGGGGGGGGGGGGGGGGGGGGGGGGGGCCUGCGUUGGUGGGGUGCGGGAGUGGCGAACGGGUGAGUAACACGUGAGUAACCUGCCCUUGACUUUGGGAUAACUUCAGGAAACUGGGGCUAAUACCGGAUCGGAGCUCCUGCUGCAUGGUGGGGGUUGGAAAGUUUCGGCGGUUGGGGAUGGACUCGCGGCUUAUCAGCUUGUUGGUGGGGUAGUGGCUUACCAAGGCUUUGACGGGUAGCCGGCCUGAGAGGGUGACCGGCCACAUUGGGACUGAGAUACGGCCCAGACUCCUACGGGAGGCAGCAGUGGGGAAUAUUGCACAAUGGGCGGAAGCCUGAUGCAGCAACGCCGCGUGCGGGAUGACGGCCUUCGGGUUGUAAACCGCUUUCGCCUGUGACGAAGCGUGAGUGACGGUAAUGGGUAAAGAAGCACCGGCUAACUACGUG
rnacentral:rRNA from 1 species